rnacentral:rRNA from 1 species
CGAGUUUGAUCCUGGCUCAGAUUGAACGCUGGCGGCAUGCUUUACACAUGCAAGUCGAACGCGAAAGGGGGGCAACUCCUGAGUAGAGUGGCGCACGGGUGAGUAAUACAUCGGAACGUGUCCUGUAAUGGGGGAUAACGCAGCGAAAGCUGUGCUAAUACCGCAUACGUCCUACGGGAGAAAGUGGGGGACCGCAAGGCCUCACGUUAUAGGAGCGGCCGAUGCCGGAUUAGCUAGUUGGUGGGGUAAAGGCUCACCAAGGCAACGAUCCGUAGCUGGUCUGAGAGGAUGAUCAGCCACACUGGGACUGAGACACGGCCCAGACUCCUACGGGAGGCAGCAGUGGGGAAUUUUGGACAAUGGGCGCAAGCCUGAUCCAGCCAUGCCGCGUGAGUGAAGAAGGCCUUCGGGUUGUAAAGCUCUUUCGGCCGGGACGAAAUCGCACGGGUUAACACCGCGUGUGGAUGACGGUACCGGAAUAAGAAGCACCGGCUAACUACGUG